GGGUAAGUCUUGUACGACCAGCUCCUUUCUAAUCCCCCAGGAUGGGAACAUAGCAAGGGCAUGACGGUUGAGCGGUGCGAUACAAGUAGCUUACCCUUU
rnacentral:SRP_RNA from 1 species